rnacentral:hammerhead_ribozyme from 1 species
AUCCAGAUGACGAGUCCAAAAUAGAACGAAACAUGCAUCGUAGAU